rnacentral:rRNA from 1 species
GGAAUAUUGCACAAUGGGCGAAAGCCUGAUGCAGCGACGCCGCGUGAAGGAUGAAGUAUUUCGGUAUGUAAACUUCUAUCAGCAGGGAAGAAAAUGACGGUACCUGACUAAGAAGCCCCGGCUAACUACGUGCCAGCAGCCGCGGUAAUACGUAGGGGGCAAGCGUUAUCCGGAUUUACUGGGUGUAAAGGGAGCGUAGACGGCGAUGCAAGCCAGAUGUGAAAGCCCGGGGCUCAACCCCGGGACUGCAUUUGGAACUGUGUGGCUGGAGUGUCGGAGAGGCAAGUGGAAUUCCUAGUGUAGCGGUGAAAUGCGUAGAUAUUAGGAGGAACACCAGUGGCGAAGGCGGCUUGCUGGACGAUGACUGACGUUGAGGCUCGAAAGCGUGGGGAGCAAACA